rnacentral:rRNA from 1 species
GGUUUGAUUAUGGCUCAGAUUGAACGCUGGCGGGAUGCUUUACACAUGCAAGUCGAACGGCAGCACGGACUUCGGUCUGGUGGCGAGUGGCGAACGGGUGAGUAAUGUAUCGGAACGUGCCCUAGUAGCGGGGGAUAACUACGCGAAAGCGUAGCUAAUACCGCAUACGCCCUUCGGGGGAAAGCGGGGGACCUUCGGGCCUCGCACUAUUAGAGCGGCCGAUAUCCGAGUUAGCUAGUUGGUGGGGUAACGGCUCACCAAGGCGACGUCCGUAGCUGGUUUGAGAGGACGACCAGCCACACUGGGACUGAGACACGGCCCAGACUCCUACAGGAGGCAGCAGUGGGAAUUUUGGACAAUGGGGAAACCCUGAUCCAGCCAUCCCGCGUGUGCGAUGAAGGCCUUCCGGGUUGUAAAGCACUUUUGGCAGAGGGAAAGAAACGGCGCACGGGAUAAUACCCCGUGCAACUGGCCAGUACCUGCAGAAUAAGCACCGGCUAACUACGUGCCAGCAGCCGCGGUAAUACGUAGGGUGCAAGCGUUAAUCGGAAUUACUGGGCGUAAAGCGUGCGCAGGCGGUUCGGGGGAAAGAAAGAUGUGAAAUCCCAGGGCUUAACUUUGGAACUGCAUUUUUAACUACCGAGCUAGAGUGUGUCAGAGAGGGAGGUGGAAUUCCGCGUGUAGCGGUGAAAUGCGUAGAUAUGCGGAGGAACACGAUGGCGAAGGCAGCCUCCUGGGAUAACACUGACGCUCAUGCACGAAAGCGUGGGAGCAAACAGGAUUAGAUACCCUGGUAGUCCACGCCUAAACGAUGUCAACUAGCUGUUGGGGCCUUCGGGCCUUGGUAGCGCAGCUAACGCGUGAAGUUGACCACUUGGGAGUGCAGUCGCAAGAUUAAAACUCAAAGGAAUUGACGGGGACCCGCACAAGCGGUGGAUGAUGUGGAUUAAUUCGAUGCAACGCGAAAAACCUUACCUACCCUUGACAUGUCUGGAAUCGAAGAGAUUUGGAGUGCUCGCAAGAGAACCGGAACACAGGUGCUGCAUGGCUGUCGUCAGCUCGUGUCGUGAGAUAUUGGGUUAAGUCCCGCAACGAGCGCAACCCUUGUCAUUAGUUGCUACGAAAGGGCACUCUAAUGAGACUGCCGGUGACAAACCGGAGGAAGGUGGGGAUGACGUCAGAGUCCUCAUGGCCCUUAUGGGUAGGGCUUCACACGUCAUACAAUGGUCGGGACAGAGGGUCGCCAACCCGCGAGGGGGCCAAUCCCAGAAACCCGAUCAUAGUCCGGAUCGCAGUCUGCAACUCGACUGCGUGAAGUCGGAAUCGCUAGUAAUCGCGGAUCAGCAUGUCGCGGUGAAUACGUUCCCGGGUCUUGUACACACCGCCCGUCACACCAUGGGAGUGGGUUUUACCAGAAGUAGUUAGCCUAACCGUAAGGAGGGCGAUUACCACGGUAGGAUUCGUGACUGGGGUGAAGUCGUAGCUGGAGUAA